AAGAACUGCAGAAGCACAUGCUGAGAUACUUCUCUCGCAGUGCCACUUGAACUUUUCAGCUCUCCAAGCUUUAAGACGUGUCAAGAUCGCAAGGUUAACUUUUUGUGUUUCUCCCAAAAGCUCGGUCUACCCCACCCUGAAAACAAGCUCCGACAUAUCUUUCUCCAGCAUCUUGUCUCCCCCGUCCCCCUUGAACUCUUUGUUACCAGCACAUUCGGCUACCCAAAAUCCCAUUAUUGCUACUCGAGUGCACGCUGACUUCCGUGGAAUUAAACUGGAGAGCAGCAAGGGGUGUUUUGCAAUCUUAACAAUAUGGCACAGAGAUUUAGAGAGAUCCACCACCACGCUGACUCUGAGCCACGCCAAAUAAAGGGAUCGCUACUUCCUUCAUUCGCACUGAAUAUGAAGACAUUGAGGAUACAGAAGAUACAAGGAUUGGUUGUAAAAGAAAAGAAAGAAAGCCUGAUGUUGUAGUAUUAAACAGUGGUCACACCAAACUCUAAUAUUUAUAAAAUCCUGGUUCGGAGCUGCACAAACAGCUUGCCUGUGCAGUGAAAGAUCAUUACACAAUAUCUCUAUAUAUUCCAAUAAAAAGCAGUUUAAACAAUCAGUUUUUUUCUACAACCUGUCUGAUACUUGUUUCUGCUCCAAAUAUAAGUUGCCAGCUUCUAACAUCAGUUUCACUGGUGAGUGAAAUUAUAUCUUAAGAU
ensembl:lncRNA